rnacentral:rRNA from 1 species
AUACGGAGGAUCCGAGCGUUAUCCGGAUUUAUUGGGUUUAAAGGGUGCGCAGGCGGCCAUUUAAGUCAGCGGUUAAAUCGUGGGGCUCAACCCCAUUCUGCCGUUGAUACUGGGUGGCUUGAUUGCGGUCGAGGUUGGCGGAAUUCGUUGUGUAGCGGUGAAAUGCAUAGAUAUGACGAAGAACACCGAUUGCGUAGGCAGCUGACCAGACCGCAAAUGACGCUCAUGCACGAAAGUGCGGGGAUCGAACAGGAUUAGAUACCCUGGUAGUCCACGCCGUAAACGAUGGGCGCUCGUCGUCGGCGGCAGACAGUCGGCGGCCAAGCGAAAGCGAUAAGCGCCCCACCUGGGGAGUACGGUCGCAAGGCUGAAACUUAAAUGAAUUGGCGGGG